rnacentral:rRNA from 1 species
UCGAACGAAGUUAGGAAGCUUGCUUCUGAUACUUAGUGGCGGACGGGUGAGUAAUGCUUAGGAAUCUGCCUAGUAGUGGGGGAUAACUUGGGGAAACCCAAGCUAAUACCGCAUACGACCUACGGGUGAAAGGGGGCGCAAGCUCUCGCUAUUAGAUGAGCCUAAGUCGGAUUAGCUAGUUGGUGGGGUAAAGGCCUACCAAGGCGACGAUCUGUAGCUGGUCUGAGAGGAUGAUCAGCCACACUGGGACUGAGACACGGCCCAGACUCCUACGGGAGGCAGCAGUGGGGAAUAUUGGACAAUGGGCGAAAGCCUGAUCCAGCCAUGCCGCGUGUGUGAAGAAGGCCUUUUGGUUGUAAAGCACUUUAAGUGGGGAGGAAAAGCUUAUGGUUAAUACCCAUAAGCCCUGACGUUACCCACAGAAUAAGCACCGGCUAACUCUGUGCCAGCAGCCGCGGUAAUACAGAGGGUGCAAGCGUUAAUCGGAAUUACUGGGCGUAAAGCGCGCGUAGGUGGUUAUUUAAGUCAGAUGUGAAAGCCCCGGGCUUAACCUGGGAACUGCAUCUGAUACUGGAUAACUAGAGUAGGUGAGAGGGGAGUAGAAUUCCAGGUGUAGCGGUGAAAUGCGUAGAGAUCUGGAGGAAUACCGAUGGCGAAGGCAGCUCCCUGGCAUCAUACUGACACUGAGGUGCGAAAGCGUGGGUAGCAAACAGGAUUAGAUACCCUGGUAGUCCACGCCGUAAACGAUGUCUACCAGUCGUUGGGUCUUUUAAAGACUUAGUGACGCAGUUAACGCAAUAAGUAGACCG